CUCUCCCUUGUUCAGAUCACCGGUCUGACCAGCUCGCUCAGCGAUGUGAUCCUUGCUCACCUGUUCAGCCAGGAGGAACUCUCAAACAACUCGGAGCUGAUCGGCAUCUACAGGCAGCACAUGACAGAAGGCAACAUCCUGAGCAACAUCGAGCUGUACUGGAACAGCUACAACAGCCGACGGGACCUGGAGAUCGACCGAGCUGGGGCGGGAACUCUGAAGUAAGGACAGA